rfam:Triticum aestivum genome assembly, contig: Triticum_aestivum_CS42_TGACv1_scaffold_177399_2DS
UAUACUCUCCCUCCAUCCGAAAAUACUUAUCAUCAAAAUGAAUAAAAAAAGAUGUAUUUUAGUUCUACAUACAUCCCCUUUUAUCCAUUUUGAUGACAAGUAUUUUCGGACGGAGUGAGCAUGUA